GUAGGUGGCAAGCGUUGUCCGGAAUUAUUGGGCGUAAAGCGCGCGCAGGCGGUUCUUUAAGUCUGAUGUGAAAGCCCACGGCUCAACCGUGGAGGGUCAUUGGAAACUGGAGAACUUGAGUACAGAAGAGGGAAGCGGAAUUCCACGUGUAGCGGUGAAAUGCGUAGAGAUGUGGAGGAACACCAGUGGCGAAGGCGGCUUUCUGGUCUGUAACUGACGCUGAGGCGCGAAAGCGUGGGGAGCAAACAGGAUUAGAUACCCUGGUAGUCCACGCCGUAAACGAUGAGUGCUAAGUGUUAGGGGGGUUUCCGCCCCCCUUAGUGCUGCAGCUAACGCAUUAAGCACUCCGCCUGGGAGUACGGCCGCAAGGCUG
rnacentral:rRNA from 1 species